CCAGCACUUCAACAUAGCAUGUUUCCUUAAUGAUCAGAGAUAGGUGGAGCUGUAGCACCAGGAAAUACAAGCAGACAGUUAUUGUUUCUGGUUUAGAGAGGAGAGAGGAGGCAGGUGUUUGUCUUUGUGUAGAAGUCAAACAAACUCCUCCGGCUCUUCUCAGUCGACCCGGAGGAACAGUCCAGCUGGUCUGCACACAUAACAAGACCGACUUCACAGUCAUGCAGUGGUACCAGAAAACUCCUGGAGACAACACUCUGAAACGCAUCGGACAUGUGUCUUACAGCACCAUCGAGCCAGAGGAGCCCUUCAAGAAGCAUUUUAACAUCAAGGGAGAUAUGAUUGGAGAGAAAGUAAAGAACGGUUCUCUGGUUAUAGCCGACCUGAAGGCACCAGAUCACAACGCAGUGUAUUACUGUGCAGCUAGCUAUGCACACUGACUGCUAAUCCCCUCUCAUUGAUACAAAAACUCUAAACCAACUCUGAUGGUUUGAUAUUAGAAAAGAAAGAGACCACACACAGACAGCUGCUCCAGGUUAUCUGUCACAUCCUGUUAACAGUGAUGC